UACGUAGGGGGCAAGCGUUGUCCGGAAUCAUUGGGCGUAAAGCGCGCGUAGGCGGCUUCGUAAGUCCGUUGUGAAAGUCCAGGGCUCAACCCUGGAAUGCCGAUGGAUACUGCGGAGCUAGAGUCCGGAAGAGGCGAGUGGAAUUCCUGGUGUAGCGGUGAAAUGCGCAGAUAUCAGGAGGAACACCAAUGGCGAAGGCAGCUCGCUGGGACGGUACUGACGCUGAGACGCGAAAGCGUGGGGAGCAAACAGG
rnacentral:rRNA from 1 species